rnacentral:rRNA from 1 species
UACGGAGGGGGCUAGCGUUGUUCGGAAUUACUGGGCGUAAAGCGCACGUAGGCGGCUUUGUAAGUUAGAGGUGAAAGCCCAGGGCUCAACCCUGGAAUUGCCUUUGAGACUGAGUGGCUUGAGUACGGGAGAGGUGAGUGGAAUUCCCAGUGUAGAGGUGAAAUUCGUAGAUAUUGGGAAGAACACCGGUGGCGAAGGCGGCUCACUGGCCCGUAACUGACGCUCAUGCACGACAGCGUGGGGAUCAAACAGG